rnacentral:rRNA from 1 species
AUACGGAGGGUGCGAGCGUUAAUCGGAAUUACUGGGCGUAAAGGGUGCGUAGGCGGCUUGAUAAGUCGGAUGUGAAAGCCCCGGGCUUAACCUGGGAAUUGCAUUCGAUACUGUCAGGCUAGAGUAUGUCAGAGGUUGGCGGAAUUCCUGGUAUAGCGGUGAAAUGCGUAGAUAUCAGGAGGAACACCAGUGGCGAAGGCGGCUAACUGGGGCAAUACUGACGCUGAGGCACGAAAGCGUGGGGGGCAAACAGGAUUAGAUACCCUAGUAGUCC